UACGAAGGGGGCUAGCGUUGUUCGGAAUUACUGGGCGUAAAGGGCGCGUAGGCGGUCAGGUAAGUCAGAUGUGAAAUUCCGGGGCUCAACCCCGGAGCUGCAUUUGAAACUGCCUAGCUAGAGUUCAGUUAGGGUAAACGGAAUUCCACGUGUAGCGGUGAAAUGCGUAGAUAUGUGGAAGAACACCGGUGGUGAAGACGGUUUACUGGGCUGAGACUGACGCUGAGGCGCGAAAGCAUGGGGAGCAAACAGG
rnacentral:rRNA from 1 species